AGCGGAGGAAAAGAAACCAACAGGGAUUGCCCUAGUAACGGCGAGUGAAGCGGCAACAGCUCAAAUUUGAAAUCUGGCCUCGGCCCGAGUUGUAAUUUGCAGAGGAUGCUUCUGGCGCGGUGCCUUCCGAGUUCCCUGGAACGGGACGCCACAGAGGGUGAGAGCCCCGUAUGGUCGGACACCAAGCCUGUGUGAAGCUCCUUCGACGAGUCGAGUAGUUUGGGAAUGCUGCUCUAAAUGGGAGGUAAAUCUCUUCUAAAGCUAAAUACCGGCCAGAGACCGAUAGCGCACAAGUAGAGUGAUCGAAAGAUGAAAAGCACCUUGAAAAGGGGGUUAAAUAGUACGUGAAAUUGUUGAAAGGGAAGCACUUAUGACCAGACUUGGGCCGGGCGGCUCAUCAGGGGUUCUCCCCUGUGCACUCCGCCCGGCACAGGCCAGCAUCGGUUCUCGUGGGGGGAUAAGACCGUCAGGAACGUAGCACCCUCCGGGGUGUGUUAUAGCCUGGCGGACGAUACCCCCGUGGGGACCGAGGUCCGCGCUCCGCAAGGAUGCUGGCGUAAUGGUCAUCAGUGACCCGUCUUGAAACACGGACCAAGGAGUCGUCCAUUAGAGCGAGCGUUUGGGUGUAAAACCCGCACGCGUAAUGAAAGUGAACGCAGGUGAGAGCUUCGGCGCAUCAUCGACCGAUCCUGAUGUUCUCGGAAGGAUUUGAGUAAGAGUUUUAACGGACGGACCCGAAAGACAGUGAACUAUGCUUGUAUAGGGUGAAGCCAGAGGAAACUCUGGUGGAGGCUCGCAGCGGUUCUGACGUGCAAAUCGAUCGUCAAAUAUGAGCAUGGGGGCGAAAGACUAAUCGAACUGUCUAGUAGCUGGUUACCGCCGAAG
rnacentral:rRNA from 1 species